rnacentral:lncRNA from 1 species
UCUCAAACCAUUGACUUAAUCAAACUAAGUCAAUUAGCAAUCGAAUUGCUAAUCGAUCCUCCUGCAAUACUUACACUAGGUAAAAUGUCAAUCGUAUUGAUCAUUUAACCCUAGAAUAAUUCUUAAUCGUUGAUCAACCAUCCGAUCGGAUCAUAAACUCUAAUGUGUGUGACCUCAUAGGUUCGAACCUAAGUUAGUAGUAUAGAAAUAAAUUUUUAUACCAAUCGAAGUGACCAUCUAGCAAUGGUACCCG